UGUGUUGGUGUCUACAUGUGGGUGGUGAUUAAGGAAGAAAUAGCUCAAAAGGGAAGUUUGGGGACUCUUUUUCAGUCAUAUAGGAACAAAAUGAUCACGGUUCUCUUUUGUAUUACUUUGAGCGCAGCAGCGUCAGGUCUACUUCAUGAGAAAGUCCACCAGGAUCCGCCUGACAUUCACAAGAGUCCCGGAGAAUCAUCCAAAAUCCGCUGCUCGCACGCAAUCGACAACUACGAUGAAAUUCUUUGGUACAAGCAAACAUCGAUCGGCGGACAGCUGCAGUUCCUCGGACGGGUGGAGAACAGCUUCAGGUACCCGGAGGCCGGCAUGAAUGUGACUUUGGAGGGAAGUGCAGAUAAAGGCCAGACCUGCACCUUAACAAUCGAAGGACUCACCUCGAGGAGCAGCGCGGUUUACUUCUGCGCCGCUCGCUACCACAGUGCUGAAAGUUAAUGUUCCACAAAGC